AACCUCUCAGCAUUUUCAAAGAUUAUGAAAAAGUAUGAGAAGGUAAGACAUACACUUCAAACCUAACUGUAUCAGAAUUCUGCGCAUAUCCUCGUUCAAGAAAGUAUUCUGGUGAAAAAUCCAUUCAAAUAACCACAGAUCACAUCGAGGAGAGCAGCCAGAUCAUACAUACGCUAAUAGUAGACAACUCUGUUCUUGGCAGUUCUGAUGAGGUUACUAACCUCUUGGGGGUAGAGGCUACUGUCGUACAAAACUUUUCAAACUCAAAUCGCAGGGAAGGUAUGAAGUCGCUGAGACCAAAAGCGCUAAAAGAGAAAAGUGUGGUGUAACAUUUGUCACCGGUUUCUUUCUAUUUGGAGUAUAGUCAACCAUGAAUUGCUUGCUAGGGGAGAGGAAGCUACUGUAUCAUGAGUGCUUGGUGUGCAGCUGUGAAAAUCUUGGAUUUAACACAGAAUUGGACGUGUGAUUAGU